UGGGGAAUAUUGCACAAUGGGCGCAAGCCUGAUGCAGCCAUGCCGCGUGUGUGAAGAAGGCCUUCGGGUUGUAAAGCACUUUCAGCGGGGAGGAAGGCGGUGAGGUUAAUAAACUCACCGAUUUACGUUACCCGCAGAAGAAGCACCGGCUAACUCCGUGCCAGCAGCCGCGGUAAUACGGAGGGUGCAAGCGUUAAUCGGAAUUACUGGGCGUAAAGCGCACGCAGGCGGUCUGUCAAGUCGGAUGUGAAAUCCCCGGGCUCAACCUGGGAACUGCAUUCGAAACUGGCAGGCUAGAGUCUUGUAGAGGGGGGUAGAAUUCCAGGUGUAGCGGUGAAAUGCGUAGAGAUCUGGAGGAAUACCGGUGGCGAAGGCGGCCCCCUGGACAAAGACUGACGCUCAGGUGCGAAAGCGUGGGGAGCAAACAGG
rnacentral:rRNA from 1 species